CAGUAGCCGCGGGAAUACAGAGGGUGCAAGCGUUAAUCGGAAUUACUGGGCGUAAAGCGCGCGUAGGUGGUUUGUUAAGUUGGAUGUGAAAUCCUUGGGCUCAACCUGGGAACUGCAUCCAAAACUGGCAAGCUAGAGUAUGGUAGAGGGUGGUGGAAUUUCCUGUGUAGCGGUGAAAUGCGUAGAUAUAGGAAGGAACACCAGUGGCGAAGGCGACCACCUGGACUGAUACUGACACUGAGGUGCGAAAGCGUGGGGAGCAAACAGGAUUAGAUACCCCCGUAGUCCCUGUCUCUUAUAC
rnacentral:rRNA from 1 species